GACAGAGGGUGCAAACGUUGCUCGGAAUCACUGGGCGUAAAGGGCGUGUAGGCGGGACGGUAAGUCGGGCGUGAAAUCCCUAGGCUCAACCUAGGAACUGCACUCGAAACUACCAUUCUUGAGUGUCGGAGAGGAAAGCGGAAUUCCUGGUGUAGAGGUGAAAUUCGUAGAUAUCAGGAGGAACACCAGUGGCGAAGGCGGCUUUCUGGACGAUAACUGACGCUGAGACGCGAAAAGCGUGGGGAGCAAACAGG
rnacentral:rRNA from 1 species